rnacentral:misc_RNA from 1 species
AACGCACAUUGCGCCUCCUGGUAUUCCGGGAGGCAUGCCUGUUCGAGCGUCAUUAAAACCCACUCAGGCCCCUUUUGGGGGCUCUGGUCGUGGAGGAGCAGCCGCGAGGCGAGCCCCUCCGAAAUCCAUCGUGCGGAAAGCCCCCGGUGGCCCAGGCGUAGUAAAACUUCUUUCUCUCGUCUGGCGUCUGUCGAGCGUUCCUGCCGUCAACCCCCCCACAGUCUUCUUGUGAUAUUGACCUCGAAUCAGGUAGGGAUACCCGCUGAACUUAA